GGCUCAGACAGCCAGGAUGUUGGCUUAGAAGCAGCCAUCAUUUAAAGAAAGCGUAAUAGCUCACUGGUCGAGUCGGCCUGCGCGGAAGAUUUAACGGGGCUAAGCUAUACACCGAAGCUGCGGCAAUAUGAAUUUAUUCAUAUUGGGUAGGGGAGCGUUCUGUAAGCCGUUGAAGGUGCAUUGUAAAGUGUGCUGGAGGUAUCAGAAGUGCGAAUGCUGACAUGAGUAACGAUAAAGGGAGUGAAAAACUCCCUCGCCGGAAGAUCAAGGGUUCCUGUCCAACGUUAAUCGGGGCAGGGUAAGUCGACCCCUAAGGCGAGGCCGAAAGGCGUAGUCGAUGGGAAACGGGUUAAUAUUCCCGUACUUCUUAUAAUUGCGAUGGAGGGACGGAGAAGGCUAGGUGAGCCUGGCGACGGUUGUCCAGGUCCAAGUAUGUAGGCUGAUGGUUUAGGCAAAUCCGGACCAUCUUAAGGCUGAGAUACGAUGUCGAGCUACUACGGUAGUGAAGUCAUUGAUGCCAUGCUUCCGGGAAAAGCUUCUAAGCGUCAGAUUAUAAGAAAUCGUACCCCAAACCGACACAGGUGAUCAGGUAGAGAAUACCAAGGCGCUUGAGAGAACUCGGGUGAAGGAACUAGGCAAAAUGGUACCGUAACUUCGGGAGAAGGUACGCUC
rnacentral:rRNA from 1 species